UACGUAGGCAGCAAGCGUUGUUCGGAGUUACUGGGCGUAAAGGGUGCGUAGGCGGCUCUAUAAGUAUGGUGUGAAAUCUCCCGGCUUAACCGAGGAACUGCCCUCCAAACUGCGUUGCUUGAGGCCGGGAGAGGUGAGUGGAAUUCCCAGUGUAGCGGUGAAAUGCGUAGAUAUUGGGAGGAACACCAGUGGCGAAGGCGGCUCACUGGACCGGUUCUGACGCUGAGGCGCGAAAGCGUGGGGAGCAAACGGG
rnacentral:rRNA from 1 species